AGAUGCGAUCAGGGCGCGUCUAGCAGUAAAAUCUGCCCAGAAGUCACAAGUCUGGUUUAUGUUGUACCAAACUAAACCUGCAUAAUCUGCUUCACUGUUUAGUUCCAUUUUUAUUGAAAUCAGUUUCAGGUUGAUGUUUCUGAGAAUAAACUGGUGACAUAAGCGUUUAAAAAACAAAAAGAGACUGUUUAUUCUCUUACUCAACUUGAUGUUCAGAGAAUGGUUUCACAGUUUUAUACCAAGAGCAAUUGCUCUUUAUAACCAAACAUCUGGCAAACCUGAAAAAACUUAAUGGUGGGUCACAUAUAGGCAAAGUCUGCUGGCAAGGCAUCCUGCUGUGCAACAUAUGGCAUUACACCUAAUGAAUAUUAAUGCUGUGAAGUAUAAAUGGUCUUCAGGGACAGUGCUGAUGGCUGGGAAACUCAUGCAUAUGACAUUACUAUUCAAAAAGCCUUGCUCUGUUCCUUUCACCAACUGACUUCUCAGGAGGCUACUCGUCGUGUGCAUGCUUCCUACCCAGGUGAAUCUUUUAUUCCAAGUAACCCACUUGCAACUGGACCAGAUAUUUCAUCCCUGUAGCUGUACAGUGUCACCACCUUUUAAAGCUUCCAAACUUGGUAACAGGACAUGAAAAAGAAGAACAAGAACAAGACCCAGAAGUUUUAUAGCAAGAAAAAUAUUUUGUUUCACAUUUCAAAGAAUGCCUUGGAAUUAAAUUUGUGUCAUUGUAAACCAUAUCCAAUCUAGAAUACAGCAAAAACAAUUCCAAAAAAUACUAUUGUGAUGAUCUCUCCAACAAUAUCCAAAAUUUUGGUUAGUACACUAAAGAAAAAUUAGUCAUACCUCAUUUUCUCUUUCAGGAUUUUAGGGAAAAGUUAUCAGGGAAUCAAUCAUGACAUUUUAUGAUGAUAUUUGGAGGGUAUUUCUGCAAACAUUGAAAAAUGUGUAGGUUGAAAAUAAAUGAUUGCAGAUGGGUUGUGUAUGUCAUU